CUGCGUGCCCCUGGGGGGCCAGAGGGGUACCCCGCUCUGCCCACGCGCCCGGGGCCCGCAGUGGCCCCUGCGGGCUACUCCAGAUCCCCAUCCCCAGUAGCACGCGCGAGACGGCCGGGCACGUGGCUCAGGGUCCUCCGCGGCCCGCGCGCGCCCAGCCCAGCCCAGCCCAGCCCCUGCGCUGCCAGCCCGCGCGCGCCCUCCGCGCGAAAACCGGAAAAGGGCCGUUCCCGCGCGCGCCGCCCAGGGACCGCCAAAAAGGCCCGCGGGCGGGCGGACGGGCGGAGUGGAGGCGGCCAGCUGCAACGAGAGAAGCCAGUCGCGCCGCCCACGCCGGCUGCCUCCAGCGCCACGGCGUCCGCGCCCGGCCCCCGGGAGAAGAAAGAGCCUUUACGAGGCGGCGCCACUACUCACCAGGGAAAAGGGAGGGCGGAGCGGGAGACGAGGAGAUCGAGGCGGCAGCGGGAGCCACGGGUCGCACCUGCGGUCGGCGAGCACACGGCCCGGGUCGGCGGCACCGGGGACAGCUCCGCGGGACUCACGACUUAUCCAGGAAGCAGCCGCGGGGGGGCCUCAGCAGCCGAGAAGAAGAAGCACGCAGCGAACGCCGGCAGCCAUCACUCUAGCGGAGCACGCCGCCGGCCCCUACUUAUAGCAGGCGCCGCGACCCGCGUGACCCGCCGCGCCUCGCGCCGGCCCCGGAGCCCCGCCCCCGGCAUGACGCAGCCCUCCUCGGCCCGGCGUGCCCAGCCGGGUGAGCCUGACGGUGGCGCUCAUUGGCCCGGCCCGCGCCGGCGGCCACGCCCCCAGCAGGGAGCCGGUCCACGUGGGGCGGGACAGCCCCCUCCCUGCGGCCUCGCCCUGGAGUCUCCGCACCGUCUGGCCCCGCCGGCUGAUUACCGCCAGAGAGCGAGGGGGACCUCGCCGUCACCCUGGAGGCCGUCAUGCUGCGACAUGACACAGAGGCUGCGACCAAAGUCAUUCCUAGCUCCUCUCUCGGGGCUCUGGAAAGCCGUCCGCGCCUCCAGCCGCACUUUCAGCGCACACAUGACCUGCCGCGCCCGGUGGCCACACCCGUCCCGUCUGCCGGGUGACGCUGCGGGAGAUCUUGCGCCCUGGGGCUCCGGAUCCAGUUCUGGCACGUUGUUGCACCUGUGA
rnacentral:lncRNA from 1 species